rnacentral:lncRNA from 1 species
ACCUACUUGGCUAAUGGCUCCCAGCACUCCUCUAUCUCUUUUGAAGCAGGGUGGUAUAAUAGUUUGGACAGACUUCCUGAAUUAGAAACCCAGCUUUAUUGCUUUCUGAUAUUCAGUUUGGGGCAAUUUAGGGUCUGUGUAACACACUACCCUGUCAGUGUUUUAUCCAAGGAAAAUUUAAUGUAAAUUGUUAGCUCAUCAAUGAUGUAAAUUUUAACUAUUAAAAGGGGUAAAAGAGGUUUCUACAGGAAGUAGCAGGUCAAAAAAACAGGCACUGCUUUUGGCUGAGGGAAAAUGGACCAUAAUGGAAGUAGGAGUGAAGCCCUGCUCUUACUUUAAGGUUGAGAUGCAGUUCUCUUGGAAGAACAUGUGGCUAUUCAUUCAUUUGUUGAAGGGCACCUAGGUUGGUUCCAUAGCUUAGCUAUUGUGAAUUGAGCUACUAUAGAUAUUGAUGUAACUGUGUCACUAUAGUAUGCUGAUUGUAAGUUCUUUGGAUAUACACCAAGCAGAGGGAUAACUGGGUCAAAUGGUGGUUCCAUUGCAAGUUUUCUGAAGAAUUUCCAUACUGUGUUCCAGAAUGCUUGCACCAAUUUACAGUCCCAACUGCAAUGAUAAAUAAAAUGUGGUAUAUAUACACAAUGGAAUAUUCCUCAGCCAUAAAGAAGAAUGAAAUUAUGGCAUUUGCUGGUAAGUGGAUGAAACUGGAGACCACUAGGCUAAGUGAAAUAAGCCAAUCCCCAAAAAACAAAAGUUGAAUGUUUUCUCUGAUAUGUGGAUACUAACACACAAUAAGGUGGGGGGAGAAAAUAGACAUUCAGUGGAUUAGACAAAGGGGAAUGAAGGGAAGGGAGAGGGAAUGGGAAUAGAAAAGACAGUAGAAUGAAUAGGACAUAACUUUCCUAUGUUUGUAUAUGAAUAUGGAACCAGUGAAAUUCCACAUCAUAAUGCAAGAAUGGGAUCCUAAUUAGAAUAAGUUAUACUCCAUGUAUGUAUAAUAUGUCAAAAUACACUCUACUGUCAUGUAUACCUAAAAUGAACAAAUAAAAAUAUACUUUUACAGAAAAAGAAAAUAUGUGGCUACCACAAGAACACAGCCUAUUAGUGUCAAAAGACUUUUCAGAAGGUGAGGACCCCAAGCCAGUCUGCAGAAGCAUGGAGCUUCUGCAGUGGUCUGGGUAUGCAGUUGGAACUCUGUCAAGCUGACCCCUGGGCUCCCUGCUGAUAGUAACAAUGGAGGACCACCACCUGUUUAGGAAGGGUCUUCCUGAGGUAAUG